GGAUACAUUAGAAGGUUAUUUGAAUAUUUUUGGCUGGUAUGAGUAGUACUUUGAACCUUGUUAUAUUAUACAUUUUUUAAACUACAAUCUUUUUUAUUUUGAAUGCUUUCAUGAUCAUCUAUAUUUUACCAAGAUCCAAGUUGUCACUGGCAGAUCAUUUAAUAUAAUGAACACAGCGCAUGUGAUUAAUUUGAAGAAUUUAAAGUUGGCAAACAUUUUCUCUCAAUGGAUAUUAGCAUUGAACUCGAUCUUAUUGGGCCAAGACAAGCGUGGGCCCAGCAGGACUCAUAGAGACAGAAUGCACUGGUGGUCAUUUUUUUCCUCUGAGAGUUUUCUUCUUUCCAUGGAAACUACUUAUUUUCCAAGGGAGUUCAAGAGUCAUAUUUGCUGAAAUGAUCAAGGGAUUAGAAAGAUCUUUGAACAUGCUAAAAUUUGAGAUCAUCACUUUAAGCUAAUUAAUAGCAAGAAGAACAAAAACACUAAAAAGGAAAGUAUUUUGGAGUUUUUA
rnacentral:lncRNA from 1 species